GAAGCCCCCUCACGCCGGGCUGUGCGGGGCGAGGCGGGGACCGCGGUGGAACGGGACGGGCUCUGAGGUGCCUUCCGACCGAAACCAUGGGGGAUCCCUGGGUUCACGGCGGGGCUGGUCCCGGCCCUCGCCCAUGCAGCGGAUCCAGGAGUCUGCUUGCGUCUGCCGGGAAUGACAGAUGACCCAGGGCACAGGUGCUUCAUCUCCAGCCCCACAUGAAUCCCACAGCGGGGACAGCUCAGCCCCAGCAAUGCCGACUUUGCAAAGCGCUUCGUGCUCCGUCAGUUGUAAAGUGUUCCUCCAGCACAGAUUUAUUAUUAUUAUUAUUAUUACUAUUACUAUUAUUAUUUUAUUACCACUA